ACGACCUUACUUGGACAGGAUCUGUUCUGUAGGUUGUACCUCUGUAUAUUCGAGUUCUAAGGAGAUAGGAAUCAAAGCCUGGUGGAUGAAUCGGGACCGCAUGAUCAGAGCGUGAUUAACGGUUGAGUGAUUUUGGAUCAUCAGACGGUAGAGGAUCGUACCAAGUCGGCUCAGACCGGCCUGGUUGGUCAUGCGGUUGUAUGACAGGCU
rfam:Vitis vinifera, whole genome shotgun sequence of line PN40024, unoriented chromosome 8, chr8